CAGUAGCCGCGGGAAUACGAAGGGUGCAAGCGUUAAUCGGAAUUACUGGGCGUAAAGCGCGCGUAGGUGGUUUGGUAAGAUGGAUGUGAAAUCCCCGGGCUCAACCUGGGAACUGCAUCCAUAACUGCCUGACUAGAGUACGGUAGAGGGUGGUGGAAUUUCCUGUGUAGCGGUGAAAUGCGUAGAUAUAGGAAGGAACACCAGUGGCGAAGGCGACCACCUGGACUGAUACUGACACUGAGGUGCGAAAGCGUGGGGAGCAAACAGGAUUAGAUACCCCAGUAGUCCCUGUCUCUUAUAA
rnacentral:rRNA from 1 species